GUGCUCACUUCAGCAGCAAAAAUACUAAAAUUGGAAUGAUCAGAGAAGAUUAGUAUGUCUCCUGUGUAAAGAUGACAUGCAAAUUUGUGAUGCAUCCAUAUUUUUA
rnacentral:snRNA from 1 species